rnacentral:rRNA from 1 species
CCAAUAGCGUAUAUUAAAGUUGUUGCAGUUAAAAAGCUCGUAGUUGAAUUUCGGGAUCAAUUUAUUGGUCGUGCAAUCGUACGUACUGGUAUUAUUGAUUCCUACCUUCUGACGAACCAUGAUGUCAUUAAUUUGGUGUCAUGGGGAAUCAGGACUGUUACUUUGAAAAAUUUAGAGUGUUUAAAGCAGGCUCACGCUUGAAUACAUUAGCAUGGAAUAACGAAAUAGGACGUUUGAUUCUAUUUUGUUGGUUUCUAGGAUCGACGUAAUGAUUAAUAGGGAUAGUUGGGGGCAUUAGUAUUCAAUUGUCAGAGGUGAAAUUCUUGGAUUUAUUGAAGACUAACUACUGCGAAAGCAUUUGCCAAGGAUGUUUUCAUUAACCAAGAACGAAAGUUAGGGGAUCGAAGACGAUCAGAUACCGUCGUAGUCUUAACCAUAAACUAUGCCGACUAGGGAUCGGAUGAUGUUAAUUUUUUAAUGACUCAUUCGGCGCCUUACG